rnacentral:rRNA from 1 species
GCAGCACGGGUAGCAAUACUUGGUGGCGACCGGCGCAAGGGUGCGUAACGCGUGAGCAACAUGCCCGUAUCAGGGGGAUAAUCCAGGGAAACUUGGUCUAAUACCCCAUAGUAAUUUCGUAAGGCAUCUUAUGGGAUUUAAAGCUUUGGUGGAUACGGAUUGGCUCGCGUGACAUUAGCUAGAUGGUAAGGUAACGGCUUACCAUGGCUAUGAUGUCUAGGGGUUCUGAGAGGAAGGUCCCCCACACUGGAACUGAGACACGGUCCAGACUCCUACGGGAGGCAGCAGUGAGGAAUAUUGGACAAUGGAUGGAAAUCUGAUCCAGCCAUGCCGCGUGAAGGAAGAAUGUCCUAUGGAUUGUAAACUUCUUUUGUAUGGGAGCAAUAAGGUCUUCGUGAAGACUGAUGAGAGUACCAUACGAGUAAGCAUCGGCUAACUCCGUGCCAGCAGCCGCGGUAAUACGGAGGAUGCGAGCGUUAUCCGGAUUUAUUGGGUUUAAAGGGUGCGUAGGCUGUUAUAUAAGUCAGUGGUGAAAUAUUCGGGCUCAACCGGGAUACUGCCAUUGAUACU